UUCCUCUCCAGAGCCAAUGUAAGGGAGUUGUUUUAAGGAUUGAGGAUACAGGACCUUGUAACAAGCUUACAACAGUAUUUGGCUCUCAAAUCUUAUUCAUCCAGACAGAAGAGGAGAACAAGCCUCGGAGCACCCCCAGGAGCUCUCCUGAAGCCGCCAGGAAUGGAGGAGCUCGCUUGGAAUCAGAGGCCCGUGUUCCCAACCCAGGGCUGCCCCUGCUGGAGAUGUGACCUCGGGCAGGCACACUGGGAAGCCUCUGGAAGCCCAGGCCUGCACGCGUGAAAGGGGCUGAAGACCCUCCGGCACCCACAGGAGGAUCUGCUGCAUCAGCCCAGGUGCCAGCCAGGGAAGGCUCUUGCAGAACUGGAGGCAUCCACAGGCUGUCUUCCGCACCUGAACAAGGCCCUCGUGGGGGGACUCCGCUGGCUCCGCCACUGCCUCUCCAUCCUUGAGUGACUUCCUAAGCCCACACCCAGGCUUCCAGGGCUCCUCUGAGAGCCCCCUGAAUGCAGGCGAGCUCCUCUAGUCACCCCUCUCUCUUGCCCUUCUUUAUUCCUCCAUGCCAGUUUACUCGCUCCCCAAAACAAAUCUUACCCUUUCACAGUUGACCUUAGUGGCCCUUGAGUCCAGAGCCACUGAAAUUCUGUAUCGGUUCCUCUUCCCUCCAGGACAAGGAGAGCUUAACUUCCUAUGUUAUGAGGCAGGGGAUAAUUACAUGCCAUCCUUCCAGCAGAGCAAAGAAAAUGAUUUAAAAAAAAAAAGUUUCACAUUAAAACAGGCAGAACAUUUCUAUUCUGCCAAUAUUUUAAUCCAUUGACUUUUUUUUAAGCGCCUACUGUAUGCCUGCUCAACGAGCUGGGCUCUGAUAAGCGAGCUCAACCCCUCCCUGAGUGCGCUGGGAAGAGUGCCACCCAGUAAGGGAGCUCUGAGCAGUUAGGGUGGCAGCCAGUGGUGUGGACACGUGGGGCCCAGGCCAGCAGCCCAGGAUCAGACACUCACAUGUCCUCAGGAAGUCACUGGGUAUCAGGCCUUGGGCUGGGCAGAAGUGGGACUAGAGACAGAGCAGGGUGUCCUACGAGGAAGCUGGCAGCAGGAGGACCUCAGGGCAGUCCGGACCAGCUCAUGCUUGGGGGCUGCUUCAGGGGAGCCUUUUGGCUGGGCCAAGGGGGCUGGCUAGGAGGACUUGGACAGAAGGAUGGGUCCAAAGGGCUCUGGGGUUCAAGAGAGCACCACUGAGGGAACCGCCCAACCUCACUCAGAGACCAGAUCACGCCCAGCUAUUGGGGGGAUGGUAGAACAGAACAAAUGCCAUGCACGGAGUGCCAAGGGCUCCCCAUGAGUGUGCAGGAUUCCCAGAAGGGUCCUGAAUGGGAAUGGCAGCAUUGGAGGAAGAAGCCUAAUAAGACCUCCUCCAAUUUUCUGUGCAUCCAUAAAAGCUGCUCCAGUCAGCCACCACUGACGGGCAGGAUCCAAAGAGCGGGGAAAGGAAUGCAUUGUUCACAUAUUCUCUGGAGAACAAAUAAUCCCACAGUGAUUCUGAAGAACAGUCAGCGAUGUUUGAUUUAAGAGUGGCAAGGUACAACUCACAGCUCAUUUUCCCUGCGGGGACGCUGCUCUUAAUCCUCUUCCCCCUCAUGCUAACUUUGAAUUCUGGGAGGUGACCCUGGCCAAGCAUUUAAGUUCUGUUAACAUAAUAAAUGCUUGUUAUCAACUACCUUCAAAUUCAGAGGAAAGGGGGGUAAUUUUCAAGCAUCUCCUGAGUACCUCUGAGAAGAAAUCGGCUGGCAAAU
rnacentral:lncRNA from 10 species